GACGAACGCUGGCGGCGUGCUUAACACAUGCAAGUCGAACGGAAAGGCCCUGCUUUUGUGGGGUGCUCGAGUGGCGAACGGGUGAGUAACACGUGAGUAACCUGCCCUUGACUUUGGGAUAACUUCAGGAAACUGGGGCUAAUACCGGAUAGGAGCUACUGCUGCAUGGUGGGGGUUGGAAAGUUUCGGCGGUUGGGGAUGGACUCGCGGCUUAUCAGCUUGUUGGUGGGGUAGUGGCUUACCAAGGCUUUGACGGGUAGCCGGCCUGAGAGGGUGACCGGCCACAUUAGGACUGAGAUACGGCCCAGACUCCUACGGUAGGCAGCAGUGGGGAAUAUUGCACAAUGGGCGGAAGCCUGAUGCAGCAACGCCGCGUGCGGGAUGACGGCCUUCGGGUUGUAAACCGCUUUCGCCUGUGACGAAGCGUGAGUGACGGUAAUGGGUAAAGAAGCACCGGCUAACUACGUG
rnacentral:rRNA from 1 species